rnacentral:rRNA from 1 species
GGAAGUAAAAGUCGUAACAAGGUCUCCGUUGGUGAACCAGCGGAGGGAUCAUUACUGAGUUUACGCUCUACAACCCUUUGUGAACAUACCUACAACUGUUGCUUCGGCGGGUAGGGUCCCCGUGACCCUCCCGGCCUCCCGCCCCCCCCCGGGCGGGUCGGCGCCCGCCGGAGGAUAACCAAACUCUGAUUUAACGACGUUUCUUCUGAGUGGUACAAGCAAAUAAUCAAAACUUUUAACAACGGAUCUCUUGGUUCUGGCAUCGAUGAAGAACGCAGCGAAAUGCGAUAAGUAAUGUGAAUUGCAGAAUUCAGUGAAUCAUCGAAUCUUUGAACGCACAUUGCGCCCGCCAGCAUUCUGGCGGGCAUGCCUGUUCGAGCGUCAUUUCAACCCUCAAGCUCUGCUUGGUGUUGGGGCCCUACAGCUGAUGUAGGCCCUCAAAGGUAGUGGCGGACCCUCCCGGAGCCUCCUUUGCGUAGUAACUUUACGUCUCGCACUGGGAUCCGGAGGGACUCUUGCCGUAAAACCCCCCAAUUUUCCAAAGGUUGACCUCGGAUCAGGUAGGAAUACCCGCUGAACUUAAGCAUAUCAAUA